rnacentral:misc_RNA from 1 species
GAUGAGAACGUAGUGAAAUGCGAUAAGUAAUGCGAAUUGCAGAAUUCCGUGAGUCAUCGAAUCUUUGAACGCACAUUGCGCCCUUUGGCAUUCCGAAGGGCAUGCCUGUUCGAGCGUCAUUUAUCAACCCUCAAGCCCGGCUUGCGGUUGGGUCCCGCCGUGGGCGACCACGGCGGACCCGAAAGGUAAUGGCGGUGCCCGUGGGGCCCUGGACGCAGCGAGCUUCUCGGCACGCGUCCCGGCGGUCCCCGGCGCCGUCUCCACCAAUCCACCACGCAGAUUGACCUCGGAUCAGGUAGGGAUACCCGCUGAACUUAAGCAUAUCAAUAAGCGGAGGA